AUCUAGUUGACGAGUCCCAAAUAGGACGAAACGCGAGUCCAAAUGGAU
rnacentral:hammerhead_ribozyme from 1 species